rnacentral:rRNA from 1 species
UGGGGAAUUUUGGACAAUGGGGGCAACCCUGAUCCAGCCAUGCCGCGUGUGUGAAGAAGGCCUUCGGGUUGUAAAGCACUUUCGGACGGAACGAAAUCGCGCGGGUGAACAUCCCGCGUGGAUGACGGUACCGUAAGAAGAAGCACCGGCUAACUACGUGCCAGCAGCCGCGGUAAUACGUAGGGUGCGAGCGUUAAUCGGAAUUACUGGGCGUAAAGUGUGCGCAGGCGGCCGCGCAAGUCGAGUGUGAAAGCCCCGAGCUUAACUUGGGAAUUGCGCUCGAAACUACGUGGCUGGAGUGUGGCAGAGGAAGGUGGAAUUCCAGGUGUAGCGGUGAAAUGCGUAGAGAUCUGGAGGAACACCGAUGGCGAAGGCAGCCUUCUGGGCCAACACUGACGCUCAUGCACGAAAGCGUGGGGAGCAAACAGGAUUAGAUACCCGGGUAGUCC